UACGAAGGGGGCUAGCGUUGUUCGGAAUUACUGGGCGUAAAGCGCACGUAGGCGGAUAUUUAAGUCAGGGGUGAAAUCCCGGGGCUCAACCCCGGAACUGCCUUUGAUACUGGGUAUCUCGAGUCCGAGAGAGGUGAGUGGAAUUCCGAGUGUAGAGGUGAAAUUCGUAGAUAUUCGGAAGAACACCAGUGGCGAAGGCGGCUUACUGGUCCGGUACUGGACGCUGAGGUGCGGAAAAGCGUGGGGAGCAAACAGGG
rnacentral:rRNA from 1 species